rnacentral:rRNA from 1 species
AGAUUGAACGCUAGCGGGACGCUUUACACAUGCAAGUCGAACGGCAGCGCGGACUUCGGUCUGGCGGCGAGUGGCGAACGGGUGAGUAAUAUAUCGGAACGUGCCCAGUAGCGGGGGAUAACUACGCGAAAGCGUGGCUAAUACCGCAUACGCCCUACGGGGGAAAGGGGGGAUCGCAAGACCUCUCACUAUUGGAGCGGCCGAUAUCAGAUUAGCUAGUUGGUGAGGUAAAGGCUCACCAAGGCGACGAUCUGUAGCUGGUUUGAGUGGACGACCAGCCACACUGGGACUGAGACACGGCCCAGACUCCUACGGGAGCAGCAGUGGGGAAUUUGGACAAGUGGGGG